UACGUAGGUCCCGAACGUUGCGCGACUUUACUGGGCGUAAAGGGUCCGUAGGCGGUUUAGCAAGUGGUUGGCGAAAUUUCACGGCUCAACCGUGAAACUGCCUUCCAAACUGCUAAACUUGAGGCAGGGAGAGGUCGGCGGAAUUCCCGGUGUAGGGGUGAAAUGCGUAGAUAUCGGGAGGAACACCAGUGGCGAAGGCGGCCGACUGGAACUGUUCUGACGCUGAGGGACGAAAGCUAGGGGAGCAAACCGG
rnacentral:rRNA from 1 species